rnacentral:tRNA from 1 species
GGGGCUGCGGUUCAGUGGUAGAAUGUCUGCUUUUGGCAUGCAGAAGGUUCGCGGUUCAAUCCCUGGCAUCUCCA